AACGAACGCUGGCGGCAGGCUUAACACAUGCAAGUCGAACGCAUCGCAAGAUGAGUGGCAGACGGGUGAGUAACGCGUGGGAACAUACCCUUUUCUACGGAAUAGCUCUGGGAAACUGGAACUAAUACCGUAUACGCCCUACGGGGGAAAGAUUUAUCGGGGAAGGAUUGGCCCGCGUUGGAUUAGCUAGUUGGUGGGGUAAAGGCCUACCAAGGCGACGAUCCAUAGGUGGUCUGAGAGGAUGAUCAGCCACAUUGGGACUGAGACACGGCCCAAACUCCUACGGGAGGCAGCAGUGGGGAAUAUUGGACAAUGGGCGCAAGCCUGAUCCAGCCAUGCCGCGUGAGUGAUGAAGGCCUUAGGGUUGUAAAGCUCUUUCACCGAUGAAGAUAAUGACGGUAGUCGGAGAAGAAGCCCCGGCUAACUUCGUGCCAGCCGCCGCAGUAACAC
rnacentral:rRNA from 1 species